rnacentral:rRNA from 1 species
GACGAACGCUGGCGGCGUGCUUAACACAUGCAAGUCGAACGGGAAGGCCCUUCUUUUGGCGUCUGCUCGAUUAGCGAACUUGUGAGUAACACGUGGGUAACCUGCCCUUGGUUUUCUGAUAACUUCAGGAAACUAGGGCUAAUACCUGAUAGGAGCUCCUGCCUCAGGGUGCGGGUUGGCAAGGUUCGGCGGGUGGGGAUGGAAUGGCGGCUGAUCAGCUUGUUGUUGGGGUAGUGGCUUACCAAGGCUUUGACGGGUAGCCGGCCUGAGAGGGUGAGCGGCACCAUUGGGAUUGAAAUAAGGCACAGACUCCUCCGGGAGGCAGCAGUGGGGAAUAGUGUACUAUGGGCGGAAGCAUGACGCAGCAACGCCGCGUGCGGGAUGACGACAUUUGGGUUGUAAAGCGCUUUCGCCUGUGCAGAAGCGUGAGUGACGGUAAUGGGUAAAGAAGCACCGGCUAACUACGUG